GCGGAAGGAUCAUUGCACACACA
rnacentral:rRNA from 2 species